rnacentral:rRNA from 1 species
GUCCACGCCGUAAACGUUGGGCGCUAUGUGUGGGGCUCUUUCCACGAGUUCCGUGCCGCAGCAAACGCAUUAAGCGCCCCGCCUGGGGAGUACGGCCGCAAGGCUAAAACUCAAAGGAAUUGACGGGGGCCCCGCACAAGCGGCGGAGCAUGCGGAUUAAUUCGAUGCAACGCGAAGAACCUUACCAAGGCUUGACAUGAGCGGAAAUCCGGUAGAGAUAUCGGGUCCGUAAGGGUCGCUCACAGGUGGUGCAUGGUUGUCGU